GGCCCAGAUCUGGAGUAGAUUGGUAGGAUCAGCUGACCAUACUAAUCUACUCUACUUCGAGUUUGCGCCC
rnacentral:pre_miRNA from 1 species